GCUUGUCUCAAAGAUUAAGCCAUGCAUGUCUAAGUAUAAACAAAUUUAUAGUGAAACUGCGAAUGGCUCAUUAUAUCAGUUAUAGUUUAUUUGGCGAUAAAAACUACUUGGAUAACCGUAGUAAUUCUAGAGCUAAUACAUGACUAAAAGGGCUAGCCCUGCAUUUAUUAGAUACAACCAACCCUUCGGGUUUUGGCGAAUCAUAAUAACUGAGCGGACCGUAUUCGUACGGCGUUUCUUAUUAAUUUCUGCCCUAUCAGCUUUCGAUGGUAGGGUAUUGGCCUACCAUGGCGUUAACGGGUAACGGAGAAUUAGGGUUCGAUUCCGGAGAGGGAGCCUGAGAGAUGGCUACCACAUCCAAGGAAGGCAGCAGG
rnacentral:rRNA from 1 species